CUGAAUAAAAUAGUUAAUUACAACUGAUUAAAACUGAAUACAAGGGAAUACGCAUAACUUUUUAAUGCAUCUAAAUUAUAUAAAUGAAUGUUGCUGAAUACAUGUGAAUACAACUGAAAUAUACAUUCGAAUACAACUGAAUACAAAUAGGCGAUUUGGGCGAUCUAGAGAGAGAAACACUUUUAUGGCUUCGCCGGCCGGAGGCCGAUCUCCAUAGAUUUCCCCAAGUCGAAUAGGGCAUUAAUUCCGCAAAGACUCACCCUUCAAAAGUUUUCUCAAAAUGUAGAUCAACUCUGCAUUAGUAGGAUAAAAUCAAACAUUAGAAAGCCGUGAUACUAUCGACAUGACGGUCUUUAAUAAUUGCUAUAAUAAAUAAAAGAAAUUAAAACCAGAAGGGGAUUGGAGAAAGAUAACACAGGAGUAGAUCGCUGCAGAGGAGCAAAGCUAGGGCAGAAGAGAGCAAAACCAGGCUUGGAAUAAAAGAAAAAGAGUUUUGUAGAAAAAGAGUUUUGUGGAAAAAGAAAUAGAGGGGGAGAGAGGACAAUUUGAGGCAGAAAUUGGCUACUUUGUAA
rnacentral:lncRNA from 1 species